AGACGUUUCCAUAGAGACGCAAAUGGCAGCCGACUAAUAAUGUCAGCAGUUGGAAGAGAAGGCGUUAAAUGGACGCUAGGGAUGUCUGCCGAGGAUGAGGAGCAGCUGGCGGCUCUGCUCAAGCACUUCCUGAGGAGCGUCAGCGAGCGAAUCUGUGGCGCUCCUUCGCCUCAAAGCGCCCAGGAGAUCCUUCUUCACUUGGAGGAGACCGACAACAACUUCCACAAUUAUGAGUUUGUCAAGUACCUGCGCCGGCGCUUGGAGACCUCCCUGGGUGGCGUGGUGGACGAGGAGAUCAGGAAGUUGUCGCGAGAAGACGGCCAACACGCCGUCGGCUCGGGUCACGACGCCAUCGUCCACGCGGCGACCGGCCGGAGCCGAGCGUCGGCACAGUACCAAGACGCGACGCAGACUUUGAGAACCACUGUGACUGCGGCGGUGGAGUGUUUAGUCAGCGGAUUUGACGAGGACCACUCAAGGAAGGAGGAGGAGAUGCAGCACGGCCGCUACGCCGACGACUGCUCCGACAGCGACUCGUCUUUCAAUCAGAGUUACGCCUUCAUUCGACAGGAGCAGCUGCAGACUUUGGCUGAGAAACUGGACUCAAGUCACCCCAAAGAGGUGCGCAGGGAAGCCGUGCAGGUGCUCCGUCGCGCGCCGCCGUCUGACGUGCUGAGCUGCGAGGGGUGGCCCCGCCUACGCCACAAUUUGUGCGUCGCUCUGACCGAGCCCGACCCCGAGCUGAGUGACCACGUUCUUCAGUUCUUCGCUAAGAGCUUCUCCUCGUCGCCAAUGAGCGUCACCCAGGAGAUCUACACCAGCCUCGCUAAAAGUGUGGAGUCCAGUUUUCUGUCCCUCAAGUUGAGCUUUCCCAGCGGUGCCGCUGGCUUCGACAUCAACAGGCCCGAGAUCAGUUCUCUCCUCAAACGGAUGCGUCUGAUGAACGACUUUCAAAAAGAGGCGACCGCCUUCUGGAUCCGCCACCCAGAGAAGUACAUGGAAGAAAUCAUCGAGAGCACCUUCUCCCUCCUUUCUCUCCAUCGCAACUCACCGGAGAAAUUCUUGGAGCCCACUCACCUGCUGGCCCUGUUGGAUGUUCAAGCCACGUGGUUCACGAAAUGGAUGCACGGCUCGUACAGCAGGACGGUGGUUCUCAGGCUCCUCGAGAGCAAAUACAAGAGUCUGAUGGAGGCCGCUCUGCAGCAGUGCGUCCUUUACCAGGAACGCUGCCAGCGUUGCGCUCGUCUCCCCUCGGAGGAGCAACACAACUCAGGGUCGGACGCGAGCAGCGUCUAUAGCGGUAAGGAGCUGCAGUACGCACUGGUCGUCCAUUCGCUGUGCGUCUUGGGCAAAGUCGUCCUCUACGCCAACGGCAGGAAGCUCUUUCCCAUCCAAGUGGCUGCACGCAAAGAUGCAGUCAGUUUGACGGACCUUGUCGUGAUUCUCACAAACAUCAUGUGCCAACACCCGCAGCCUUUUUGCCAUGAUAGCCCACACACAGACGCACUGUGCCCCAGCGGCCUGGUGAUGGCGACGCUGCGCGCCAUGUGUGAGAGGACCGAGUGCGCCGACCAGUGUCUCCGCCAGACGCCCGUCAUCCAGACUCUGAUGGCACCCGUCAUCCAGGCGCUCGGUGGAGGCCAGAGCAAAUUAAAGUGUCCUGCAGCCACACUGCCUCUGGUCGCGGACGUCCUGGCUCGAAUGGUCAACACACACGGAGGCUUAGCUCUCUUUCUGUAUGAGAAGAACCUGCUCGUAGGCCACGGCGAGAGGAGCACGGCCGCUCACGUGCUGCUUCGCUACACGCUGAAGCUGUUGGAUCGGGAGCUCUCGGCGCCGGGCGAAGGCGAAGGGGGCUCGUCUCGUGCUCUGUGCGGGGCCUUCAUCUUUGUUUGCAGGCAGAUGUACAACACCUGCGAGGGCCUGCAGGUGCUGCGAGCGUACGGCCUGGACAAGGCCGCCGCUGCCGCCUGGAGAAAGACCAGUUCCUUGUCUGAAAGGAUUCCGACCCCGGUGCCUGGAAACAACCCUCCAACGUCCACACAGGAAUUGCAAGACAUGCAAAUGUGGGAGGAAACAUUGCUGGACAGCCUGCUGAACUUUGCAUCUACCCCCAAGGGCGUGCUGAUGCUUCAGCAGACCGGAGCCAUGCAGGAGUGCGUCUCACACAUGUUCUCUCGCUUUAGCAAAAAAAUGCAGGUGAGCCGCUUUGAGAAGUUUGGCUAUGGCGUCAUGGUAACCCAGUUAGCGGCCACGGCGGCAGGCGCGACGGCUUUGCAGCGUUCGGGCUUUGUGCGGGCCCUGGUUCUGGAGCUGUGGUCAGCGCUGGAAUGCCGCAGCGAGGAUGCCAGGGCGGUUCGACCCAAACCCACGCCCAUGGAUCCCAUAGACAGGAGCUGCCUCAAGUCCUUCCUGUCCCUGGUCAACUUGCUCUCAUCCUCGCAGUCCACAUGGCAGCUGCUGGCUGGACAACAUUUGGCCAACAAGAGUGAAUACACACUGAGGGAAGUGCCAAGCUCAGUGCCUGACUUGAUUGACAGGCUGAUUGCUGUGAAUUCCGCCGCCAAGAUCCGCGCCCUCUUCCACUACGAGCAGUCGCACACAUUCGGCCUGAGAUUGCUCAGCGUGCUGUGCUCCAGUCUGGACAGCUUCCUGCUGCUGGAGAGCCAAUACAGCAUCUGCUCCAUGCUGCUGCAAAGCCAGAGGGACAACGUGGCCAACCAGGACACCGGCGACGGGAGCUUCAUCAUAGACAACGUGUCGGUGGAGAGGAACCACGUGCUGGUUCGUGUUGCCGUCGUCGGAGGCCCAUCUGAGAGAAGACUCCCCCCACGAGCCUUGCAGCAGGGAGAUGAUCCUUAUCCGUGGCCCAUGUUUUCAUCCUUCCCUCCCCCCACCUGCUACACUUCGGACCCACCAAGACCCCAACAGAACCCGCUGGAACCUGACCUGAUUGACUUCUUCACCUCACCUCAAACUGCAAAGACGGAAGACAGCUGGAUGGAAACGUGCCGCCGGCUUUACCGCAAAGUUGUGACAGCCGGGCACCACAGCUUGAGUGCUACAGUGUUGGCUGACCUCCUGGAGAAGGUUGUUUUCCAUCUGUCCAAACGUUCCACGGCGUGCUGCUUCUCUCCGCCUGGGUACAACAAAGCACUGGAGACGAGCGUGGAAUGUGUGGCAUUGUCGCCUGUGGAAAUUCUUGGCAUGGACGUCUGUCUCAGAUACGGCAUCUCCCUCAAACUCGUUCAACAAGAAGAUUCGGCAAGCCACCUGACGCUCCUCAUGAAGCACGUCAAGAAUUUCCUGGCCCGGCGGAGGAUUCCAAUGUCCUCGUCACUCGUCAUCAGUCAGGACGAAUAUCCUGGCUACGAUUGGUUGACUUCGACGGUGUUCCUGAUGAUGUCGGGAGACUGGCAGCGAUCUCUGAGGGUGCUGCGCAAUCUGUCCUCUCUGCUCACUUCUGCCCUCCUUUGGCCGGCCAGCAUAUAUGCCUCUGUGGACCUUCCGGCGCGAGUGGCCGAGUCGGGAAUGUCUCCGCUGUACUGGAGCUCGGCCCACUACGUGGAGAUGCUGCUGAAGGACGAACUUCGACUGGUGCACGCCGCCUUCCGGAUGUCCGGGUUCACUCCAUCGCAGAUGUGCGUGCACUGGCUGACUCAGUGCUUCUGGAACUUUCUGGACUGGCCUGAGAUCUGCCACUACGUGUGCCUUUGCGCACUGAUGGGAGCCGACUACCAGGUGUACGCCUGCCUGGCCGUCCUCAAGCAUCUGCAGCCACAACUGCUGCAGCAAACACAAGCCCGCCAGAUGCAGGUGUUCCUCAAGGAGGAACCCAUCCAGGGCUUCAGGUUUUGCGACUACCUGGACUUCAUGGAGCUCCUGGAAAGACGCUACCGGAACCUCGUGCUCAACGACAUGAAAAGCAUCCACAACCCAGACCAGUAAACACGGAGAGGGGAACGCUCACCGAGUCGGCAGCAUACGAGAGAACCGUCUGCCCUCUUUGUGGAGCCACUGUGAACAAGACGCUGUGCUUCAUAUUAACGCUAAUGUAUGCAAGCUGGGAGGCUCUCCAAGAAAAACAAAGCACAAUCAUUUUUUUGCAUGGAAAUGACAAAAACUGCCAGCAGUGACAAAAAGUCCUGCAUAAAAGGAGUCAGGACAAUACCAAGUUGAAAAAAGAAGAAGAAGGCUGUCAUCAUCAGCUCACAUUGAAAAAACAUCGCAAACAAGCGAAUGAAAUGUCAUGUCAAAUAAUCCCAUUUAAUCAUUGCAGUUAAUGACCACACUCAUAAUAAGACCUCAGACUCAUAUGACAACUCAUAUUUAUAUAUAUAUAAAAAAAGAACCUGGAUGAAAAACAAUAACACUACAAGAAUAAAGUCUUAAAAGUUGUUGAAAUUUAACAAUGAUGAAGUUAUUUCAAGAGAAAAGGUCAAAAAUAAAUAAAUAAUUAAUAAUACAUUUCUUAAUCUAACUAUGCACAUUUUUAUGGUCAAUAAUUGUGUUUACUGUGAGCACUUUUAUAUUCAUCAUCAUCAAUUGCAUUGGCCCACAGUUGUUUGUUUGUUCGUGGUCAACAAUUGUAUGUUUAUGGCCAACAAUUGUAUGUCAAAGGCUAACGUUUGUAGUCACAAGGCAGCUCAUGUCCGGCCCAAGUGCAGCAGCACUGUUCGGACGCCGUCGUACGUAUGCUGCGCUCCAGUCGGCAUGUUGUCGUUUGCUGCGUACGGCAAAUGUCAUCUCGUCCUGGGGGCGUGACCCACCUCCUCGGGGCGUCUCUCAGCAUCACAGCCGGCGUCAACCUUCAAACGCUUCUCGAGGUUUCCUCCGGGUCGCCUGGUGACGUUUCGAGCGGCCUGAGGAUGGCGAGCGAGACGACAUCCGACCCUUUUUUUGGUGUUUCCCCCCCCCCCCCCCCCUCUUCUUUCAAAUCCCAUCCCGACACUUGACGACAGGCCUGACGGUGCACCAGCUGAUGCACUCCGGGGGCACGGAUGACCUUUGUGAGACGAGGAGCUCUUUUAUGAGGGGAGACAGUCUUGUGUGUGUCACUGACUUGGCUGACAGUGUCGCUGGGUGCACUUAAAAACCGAGAGUCACAAGCUCACUCGAUUGAUCCGUGUUGUGAGAGUCGAUACUUGUGCAAGACGUUUGAGCAUUUCUUCCAUAGCUUGAUACCCAGCUACAGAUCCAUGUAUAGUACGCGCCUCACUAGUAGGACUAUUCAGCGUGCUAGUCAUGCGUUGUUUUUUUUUUUAAUACCACUGUCUUUCACUGCUGUAAAUAAAUGAUAAAUACAGUACAAAUAAAAAUACAUUAGUACUAAAAUUUUGAAAUAUAUAUAUAUAUUUUUUAGCAUUAGCAUUUCAUUUCCACAGGUGGUGUUUUUAGCAUUAGCAUCUCAAUCCACAGAUUGCAUUUUUAGCAUUAACAUAUUUUUUAGCGUUAGCAUCUGAAGUCCACAGAUGGCAUUUUUAGCAUUAGCAUCUCUCGUGCACAGGCAGCAUUGUUUUUAGCAUUCCGAAGUCCACAGAGAGCAUAUUGGCGUUCCAAGUCUGCAAACGGCGUUUUUCCACAUUAGCCAACCAAAUAGGCAGACCCUGUUGCUUUUUACCAUUAGCAUUCCGAGUGCAUAGACUUGAGAUUUACGCUGUUGCCACGCUAUGACGGUUGUAUGUUUAUUGUCAUCAGUUGUAUGUUGAUGGUCAACAUCAACAUACAAUAUAUUUAUAGUCAACCAAUGCAUGCUUAUGGUUGACAAUUAUAUAUUGUACAUUCAUGGUCAUCAAGUGUGUGUUAAUGAGCAACAAUUGGAUGUUAAUAAUCAGCAAUUGUAUGUUUAUGGAUAAUUUAGUGUAAAUGUUGACAGUCAUCAAUUGUAUGUUUAUGGUCACUAUAAAUGUGGUUAUCUAAUGGCAUUUGAUCACAUACUUUAAAUUUUCGUUCAUUUUUGUUUUAUAUACUGCUGUUUAUUUAUUUUGACACCUGCUCACAUGCAGCGACUUUUUAAUCCUGACGUAAUGGGCUGUUUAUUUCAAUUAGUGUCCAAAAGCUCGUUAUCGGCGCCGGGCGGGUCGGCUCGACCCCGGUAAAGUUUACGGUUUAGUGAUAAUUGCGCUUAACGGUAUGCUUUUUUUUUUUUUUUCUGUGCCGUGCUGUGCUGUUGUUAAUGACGACCUUUUUCAAGGCAACCGCGGUCAAGAAAUUGCUACUAAUUAGCGUGACGAGGAGGCCGCGAGGUGUCCGUGUGAGGUCGGAGAAACGCUUCUCUUGAAGCAUUUUUGUAUCACGUGCACGCUUGUAACGGAUAUUUACCAAACAGAACAGACUGCUUCCUACUUGUGGGCAGAUAAUAAUGUGAAGAAGCAAGUGGCUCAGUGCUCAAGAUUAUUUUUGUACUCUUCUGUUCCAAUUAACGAAACAAAGCAAACUUUAACCACAAAUUAUUUCCGGAUGAAGCAGCAUAUGGUUUAUUGCCCAAGGAAAAGCCCCCCAAAAUGUUUUCUUAUUCAAGUCCACGGACGAAGGCAGGUCGCUUCCUGGUGUCCUGCAGCUCUCGUUUCAGUCCAGUGAAGGGCGGAAAUGAAACGUCUGGGCCGCCGAAUUGGUGGGUCCCAUAGCCGCACCUGCCCGCCAUCGGCCGGCUUCACCUGUCUGCUGUCAGCCGUGGCCGCUAUUCAUUUUCUGCUCCGGCGGAAGCAAAGUGUCGCCGCUGCCGAUAGAUGGAAGAAGAAGGAAGAUGGGACGAAAGCGGCGGGAGGAAAAAUGAGAGAAUGUCAGCUCGCCGUGGAAUGUCAGCACUCUGGAGAGCGCGCACUUACGCACGCGACCACGUUAUUGCGUCACGUAUUUAACACCCCCGUCGUCGUCGUCGUCGUCAUCCCGGUACCCGUCAGGGCCCCGGGCGGCGUCCCGUGAAAGCUGUCGAAAACGGGUCGUCCCCCUCUGAAGAGAGUUCCAUCAUCUCAGAAGAAAGACGCGUCUUGAUCUUCAGUGCAGGGGAAAAGUCGGAGUCCCCCCAGGCCGGAUGCGUCGCCCCCGGUGAUGGGGGCGGGGUUCUAUCGCUUUGAGGAGGAUGACAGGGAAAGAUGAAGAAAGGAGAACAAACACAUCAAAGAUGUGGACGGACGUCGCCUGGGCGCAAUUCUGAAGUCGAGUCUGACGCACGUUCGAGUGGCAAACGUUUAUUUUGGACGGAUGAUUGACAGCAGGCUGGCAGGUUACGUGUCCAUUUGGGUUAAAAAAAAAAAAAGCAAAGUCCAGCCUCUUCAAAUUCAAUUCUUCAUCACCCAUUUAGAAAUUACGGGGAACCGCCGCUAUUUUCAGGGGACAGGGACUAGGCUAAUUUCCAUUAGCUCGUCUGUGGUGUUUUGCAUUAUAUGUUAGCAUUAAGCUAGCAAGCCUUGGCUUUAACAUUCUUCAGUCUAUAUAUACAAUGUUUAAUUCUCUUUUAUGUGUCAGUUUUACAGUGGCUUUGCUUCUUAUUUGGAGAACUGUGCGAGCGCACGCGUGACGACAGGUACUUUAAUAAUAAUACUUUAGGUGUUUAAAGUGUGUGGGAAGGGUAAAAAAGAUUUUUUUUCUCUAUGGCAGAUUUUCAUCGAUCGCAGAGGAGUC